rnacentral:rRNA from 1 species
UACGUGCCAGCAGCCGCGGUAAUACGUAGGUCCCGAGCGUUGUCCGGAUUUAUUGGGCGUAAAGCGAGCGCAGGCGGUUUGAUAAGUCUGAAGUUAAAGGCUGUGGCUCAACCAUAGUUCGCUUUGGAAACUGUCAAACUUGAGUGCAGAAGGGGAGAGUGGAAUUCCAUGUGUAGCGGUGAAAUGCGUAGAUAUAUGGAGGAACACCGGUGGCGAAAGCGGCUCUCUGGUCUGUAACUGACGCUGAGGCUCGAAAGCGUGGGGAGCGAACAGGAUUAGAUACCCUGGUAGUCCACGCCGUAAACGAUGAGUGCUAGGUGUUGGAUCCUUUCCGGGAUUCAGUGCCGCAGCUAACGCAUUAAGCACUCCGCCUGGGGAGUACGACCGCAAGGUUGAAACUCAAAGGAAUUGACGGGGGCCCGCACAAGCGGUGGAGCAUGUGGUUUAAUUCGAAGCAACGCGAAGAACCUUACCAGGUCUUGACAUCCCUUAGACCGCUCUAGAGAUAGAGCUUUCCUUCGGGACAGAGGUGACAGGUGGUGCAUGGUUGUCGUCAGCUCGUGUCGUGAGAUGUUGGGUUAAGUCCCGCAACGAGCGCAACCCCUAUUGUUAGUUGCCAUCAUUCAGUUGGGCACUCUAGCGAGACUGCCGGUAAUAAACCGGAGGAAGGUGGGGAUGACGUCAAAUCAUCAUGCCCCUUAUGACCUGGGCUACACACGUGCUACAAUGGCUGGUACAACGAGUCGCGAGUCGGUGACGGCAAGCUAAUCUCUUAAAGCCAUUCUCAGUUCGGAUUGUAGGCUGCAACUCGCCUACAUGAAGUCGGAAUCGCUAGUAAUCGCGGAUCAGCACGCCGCGGUGAAUACGUUCCCGGGCCUUGUACACACCGCCCGUCACACCACGAGAGUUUGUAACACCCGAAGUCGGUGAGGUAACCUUUUGGAGCCAGCCGCCUAAGGUGGGACAGAUGAUUGGGGUGAAGUCGUAACAAGGUAGCCGUAUCGGAAGGUGCGGCUGGAUCACCUCCUUUCUAA